rnacentral:rRNA from 1 species
GACGAACGCUGGCGGCGUGCCUAAUACAUGCAAGUCGAACGCAGUGGGGACGGGUGAGUAACACGUGGGUAACCUCCCAUCAGAGGGGAUAACACUUGGAAACAGGUGCUAAACCGACACUCGUGGAAGGACCCGCGGUGCAUUAGCUAGUUGGUGAGGUAACGGCUCACAAAGGCAAGGAUGCAUAGCCGAGCUGAGAGGGUGAUCGGCCACACUGGGACUGAGACACGGCCCAGACUCCUACGGGAGGCAGCAGUAGGGAAUCUUCGACAAUGGACGAAAGUCUGACCGAGCAACGCCGCGUGAGUGAAGAAGGUUUUCGGAUCGUAAAACUCUGUUGUUAGAGAAGCGGUAUCUAACCAGAAAGCCACGGCUAACUACGUGCCAGCAGCCGCGGUAAUAC